rnacentral:rRNA from 1 species
GACGAACCGUGCGAACGUUAUUCGGAAUCACUGGGCUUAAAGCGCGUGUAGGCGGGCCGGCGCGUCGGCUGCUGAAAUCCCCCGGCUCAACCGGGGAAGGGGCACCGAUACGGCCGGCCUGGAGGGGGGUAGGGGGGACGGGAACUUCCGGUGGAGCGGUGAAAUGCGUUGAGAUCGGAAGGAACGCCCGUGGCGAAAGCGAGGUCCUGGGCUCUUACUGACGCUGAGACGCGAAAGCCAGGGGAGCGAACGGG